UUGCCCACAGUUGGCGUAUUGACCCGAACAAGGAUUGCUGAUGGUACUGUCAAGACAUCGAGCUACCCUUUAGUUAGCGAGGAUCUGCAUGGACCAGAAUGCACACUGGGCACUGGGCAGCCGUUCGAUAGAUAACUAAAGGUGAUAUCACUUAGCUCCACAGGUGAUCUGCCAUCGCAAUGUUAUUCUCAUUAAAUAUAUAUUAUCCCAUCUUCAAAAUCUAAUAACCAGCCAAUUCAAUGACUUCUACAUAUAUUUAAUAGAGAAUAUGAUCUCAGAAGCCCCAGCCCCAAAAGCUGAUAUUGAAAAGUCCAAUAUUAAGACCAGGUCCCGCUGCCUAUCCAGGGGAGGUUCCCAGGACCCCGCGAGGACAGAGCUAUAUAAGGUUAUUACAAUAUGGUGUCAUCUCGGAAGGGAU
rnacentral:sRNA from 2 species